GAGGAAGGCAGCUGUUACCCAAGCCCUGCACCUCCAUCUUCCCAGAGUCUCGUGGGAAACAGAUUUCAAACAACAACAGACAGCAAGACUGAGAAACUACGAAAGAUCAGCCUGCCUCAUUUACUGUAAGAAUACAGCAUAUUCCCAGCUACUCAGGAAGCUGAGGCAGGAGAAUCACUUGAACCUGGGAGGCCGAGUUUGCAGUGAGCCAAAAUCGCACCAUUGCACUCCAGCCUGGGCAACAAGAGCGAAACUCCAACUCAAAAAAAAAAAAAAUAAAAAGAAUACAGCGUAUAAUGCAUGUAACAUAUAAAAUAUGUGUUAAUCAACUGUCUAUGUUAUGGGAAGCAGUGUUUGGAGCUGAGAUGACUUGGCAGGGAGAAGAAUCCACUGGGACAUUCAAUAACUUGGCAUUGAGAGUGUUUUCAGCACCAUGCUGUCCUCAGAAUAGUGUUAGAAUUUAUAUAAACACAGAUGUGACUUGUGCCUUGAAGGAGAAUACAGUCUUCCCAGGAGAGACAUGCAAAACCAUCAUAGACAAACAGCAAGAAAACAGCAUCAAGGAUGUACAUGCACCGGGCAGAAUGUAAACUGGAUGUAAAACCAAGCAUUUGAGGGCAAUGAGAAAGGAACUUGGUUCUGGUCUCAACUCUGCCACCCACAGCUGCGUGACUAUGUCUCUGUCACACUGCUUCUCAGGUCUUCAACUUUAUCGUCUCAUACUGAGCAAGAGACAGUCUGGACAAUUUAUGCUUCUAGAAUGGGGAGACAAGAAGAAAAGAAAGAUAGAUACCCAAGGACUUCAGUGACUGGCUCAGGAAGAAUUACUCAGCAGUGAGGGGGCCAGCAUGAGCCCAGGGGCAAGAAGCCGGGACUUGGAACAGGAAGGAAAGGUGCUCAGCUGGCUAACCUAGAGGAAAGUGAUUGGCUGGAGUGUCUGGUUUAUCUGUUUCAGGGAUGGUUAAAGAUUGCCCCGUUAAUAGGCAAAAAUUGUUGCCUUAAAGAACCUAGAAUCUAAAGGGGUCUUUGACAUAAUACAGAAUAACAGGUCCCAGAGAUUAUUUUACAGAAUGUUAGUACCUCAUGAUAUUAAUAGAUAUAUAACAAAACAGACUUCUUUGCCACAAGACUUCUCAGUACCUUUAACAUUUUAUGAUUUUCCCAAAGGACAAAGAGUAUGCAGCAUUUCCCAGACUUAAAUUUAACUGUGAACACCUG
rnacentral:lncRNA from 1 species